GAACGCUGGCGGCAGGCCUAACACAUGCAAGUCGAACGGGAUCUUCGGAUCUAGUGGCGGACGGGUUAGUAACGCGUGGGAACGUACCCUUUUCUACGGAAUAGCCUCGGGAAACUGAGAGUAAUACCGUAUACGCCCUUCGGGGGAAAGAUUUAUCGGAGAAGGAUCGGCCCGCGUAAGAUUAGAUAGUUGGUGGGGUAAUGGCCUACCAAGUCUACGAUCUUUAGCUGGUUUGAGAGGAUGAUCAGCAACACUGGGACUGAGACACGGCCCAGACUCCUACGGGAGGCAGCAGUGGGGAAUCUUAGACAAUGGGGGAAACCCUGAUCUAGCCAUGCCGCGUGAGUGACGAAGGCCUUAGGGUCGUAAAGCUCUUUCGCUGGGGAAGAUAAUGACUGUACCCAGUAAAGAAACCCCGGCUAACUCCGUGCCAGCAGCCGCGGUAAUAC
rnacentral:rRNA from 1 species